rnacentral:rRNA from 1 species
UACGUAGGUGGCGAGUGUUGUCCGGAAUUACUGGGUGAAAAGGGCGUGUAGGCGGGACUGUAAGUCAGAUGUGAAAUUCCCCGGCUCAACUGGGGCGCUGCAUCUGAAACUAUGGUUCUUGAGUGCUGGAGAGGGAAGCGGAAUUCCAAGUGUAGCGGUGAAAUGCGUAGAUAUGUGGAGGAACACCAGUGGCGAAGGCGGCUUUCUGGACAGUAACUGACUCUGAGGCGCGAAAGCGUGGGGCGCAAACCGG